rnacentral:tRNA from 1 species
GCCAGUGUAGUGUAAUGGUUUGAGCAUAGGACUAUGAUUCUUGAGGCCAGGGUUUGAAUCCCUGCUCAGCCA